CCACACCAUAUAUGUUUCAUUAUAUAUAUUUUAUAACAUUAUAUAUAUUUGAACCAUGCCUUCUUCUCACUACAACAGAAUUAGGUUAUAGGGACACAUGUUUGGGACACUUUUGAGUAAGUGUUCAAUUUAUGCUAAAACUUAAAAAAACAUCCACUAAUGCCUAAAUGUAAAGUCCAAUCCAACCAAAAAUAAAAGAUUACUCUACUCAACCCACCACACCCAGUCUAUUUGGCCCGAUUACAAACAGAAAAGAAAAAAAAAAAAAAGAAAAAUCAAUUACCAUCUUUUCUUCUCUCUUCACUCAAUCCACUGAAAUUUUAGACGAAGAGCAUUUCCUGUCGUCCUCCUCCGCCACCGCAGCCAACGAGAUAGAGUUUCGGCGGUUGCUAAAUGCUUAAAUAAAUGUUGGUAAAUUAGCAACACUCUUUUAGGUUAUAGCGACACUCUUUAACUGUCACUAUAUACCUAGCGACCCCACAUAUAGUAACACUUUUUAAAAGUGUCGGUAAUUUUAGCUAGCAGUACUUUUUUGACAUGUACCUAUAUUUAAAAGUGUCGCUAUAGACUUUUUUUAUUUAGUGUCUACACUUAUGUAUAUGCAUGCUUUUCUACA
rnacentral:lncRNA from 1 species